rnacentral:lncRNA from 1 species
UUGAAUCCAAAUGCUUUGAGAUAAUUUGCAUGCCAACCUGUUUUUACAUGACUCCAUUUCUUUAUCUGACAACCAUUAUUCAGGCAUUCGCGGACGACACCACAGUCACAGAUACAAUUUGGGCGAAACACUAAGAUCAGACUUUCCUUGAACUCACACGAGAAAACACGCGGGGCACUAAGGCCAGUCCGCCACCACCCUUAAUACCAUGGCUGGAAGCCUGGAACCGGAGAAGUAAGAAUGGUGUUUGCUUGAGAGGAGGAUGCCGGCGCUAUGGCCUGGUUUGACAGCUUGUCGUGUCAUGUGGGCGCAAUCGCGCGUGCAUGUGUAGUUGACAACUUGAAUUAGCGGAACACAUCGACACACCGUGCUCUGGUACGAUCAGUGGAUGAUUGGAUUGACUAAUGGUACACACGAUUCACGAUUCUUCCGUCAUUCAUUCACUCGUGCACCUCAUGCUUAAUUACAUUGCGCGGGGUUCACUCCACCAUGGUACAAAUCAACACAUAACUAGACAAAGGUACAAGUUGAUCUACGGCGUACAAGUACACAUGCAUGCAUAUAUCGAUCGUCCGAUGGAUGGACCGAUAUAUACUACAGCUAGCUGCUAAUUCUCAUUUAGCUCCCGGGGGCGAAGUUGGUAGCAAAGGCCCAUGCAUUGUUGUUGACUGGGUCGGCGACGUGGUCGAAGAGGUUCUCGACGGGUCCCUUGCCCGUGACGAUGGCCUGCACGAAGAAUCCAAACAUGGAGAACAUGGCGAGGCGGCCGUUCUUGAGCUCCUUGACCUUGAGCUCAGCGGCGGUGUCUGGGUCGUCGGCGAGACCGAGGGGGUCAAAGGCGCCACCGGGGUAGAUCUUGUCGAGCCCCUCACCGAGAGGGCCUCCACCAACACGGUAACCCUCGAUGAAGCCCAUGAGCACAACUUGGCAUGCCCAAAUGGCGAGGAUGCUCUGCGCGUGCACGAGGUUAGGGUUGCCCAGGUAGUCCAGGCCGCCCUCGGAGAAGAUCUGCGAGCCGGCCUUGAACCACACCGCCUCGCCGAACUUGACACCAUUCUUGGAGAG